AUACAGAGGGUGCAAGCGCUGUUCGGAAUUAUUGGGCGUAAAGCGCAUGUAGGCGGUGACGUGUGUCGGGUGUGAAAGCCCUCGGCUCAACCGAGGAAGUGCGCUCGAAACUGCGUCGCUAGAGUGUCGGAGAGGGUGGCGGAAUUCCCGGUGUAGAGGUGAAAUUCGUAGAUAUCGGGAGGAACACCAGUGGCGAAGGCGGCCACCUGGACGAACACUGACGCUGAGAUGCGAAAGCGUGGGUAGCAAACAGGAUUAGAUACCCUGGUAGUCCACGCCGUAAACGAUGAGAACUAGGUGUGGCGGGAGUUGACCCCUGCCGUGCCGAAGCUAACGCAUUAAGUGCUCCGCCUGGGAAGUACGGCCGCAAGGCUAAA
rnacentral:rRNA from 1 species